rnacentral:rRNA from 1 species
GAUGAACGCUGGCGGCGUGCCUAAUACAUGCAAGUCGAGCGAAAGGACGAGCAGCUUGCUUCUCUGAUGUUAGAGGCGGACGGGUGAGUAACACGUGGCUCACCUACCUAUUAGACUGGGAUAACUUAGGGAACCCGGAGCUAAUACCGGAUAAUCUUUUGAACCGCAUGGUUCAAAAGUGAAAGACGGUCUUGCUGUCACUUAUAGAUGGAUCCGCGCUGCAGUAGCUAGUUGGUAAGGUAACGGCAUCCUAAGGCAACGAUGCAUAGCCGACCUGAGAUGGGGAGCGGCCACGCUGGAACGGGGCCACGGUACAGACCACUACGGGACGCAGCAGUAGAGUAUCGUCCGCAAUGGGCGAAAGCCUGACGGGGCAAAGCCGCGUGAGUGAUGAAGUGCUGCGGAUCGUAAAGCUCUGUUAUUAGGGAAGAACAUAUGUGUAAGUAACUGUGCACAUCUGGACGGGACCUAAGCAGAAAGCCCCGGCGAACUACGU